rnacentral:ncRNA from 1 species
GAGUUUCAUCCUAGCUCAAAAGGAAAGCUAGCUAUAUGCUUAACACAAGCAAGUCAAAUGCUAUUUUUGAGGAGCUAGGUAGAAGGAAAAAGAGGCUCCUAUCUAAAGGUAGCUUGUCUCGCCUAGGAGGUGGGAAUUAUUAAGAAUAAAGUGGCGAACAGGUGCAUAACGCGUGGGAAUCUACCAAACAGUUCAGGCCAAAUCUGAAGAAAGCUAAAAAGAAUUGGUUGAUGAGCCUACAUAGUAUUAGGUAGUUGGUCAGGUAAAGGCUGACUAAGCCAAUGAUGCGUAGCUGGUCUUUUCGGAUGAUCAGCCACAAUGGACUAAGACACGACCCAGACUCCUACGGGGGGACCAAUGGGGAAUCUUGGACAAUGGGCAAAAGCCCAAUCUAGCAAUACCGUGUGAGUGAAGAAAGACAAUGCCACUUGUAAAGUGUUAGAUGUAUGUCCUAAAAGCCAAUUAGACUUUUGCUUUUUGGUUCAUACAUUGUGAUAUUAUUAUGUAAUGAAUAGCUUUUUAU